rnacentral:rRNA from 1 species
GACGAACGCUGGCGGCGUGCUUAACACAUGCAAGUCGAACGAUGAAGCCCUUCGGGGUGGAUUAGUGGCGAACGGGUGAGUAACACGUGGGCAAUCUGCCCUUCACUCUGGGACAAGCCCUGGAAACGGGGUCUAAUACCGGAUACGACGCGCUCGGGCAUCCGAUGUGCGUGGAAAGCUCCGGCGGUGAAGGAUGAGCCCGCGGCCUAUCAGCUUGUUGGUGAGGUAACGGCUCACCAAGGCGACGACGGGUAGCCGGCCUGAGAGGGCGACCGGCCACACUGGGACUGAGACACGGCCCAGACUCCUACGGGAGGCAGCAGUGGGGAAUAUUGCACAAUGGGCGAAAGCCUGAUGCAGCGACGCCGCGUGAGGGAUGACGGCCUUCGGGUUGUAAACCUCUUUCAGCAGGGAAGAAGCGAGAGUGACGGUACCUGCAGAAGAAGCGCCGGCUAACUACGUG